UUUUCCUGUAAGAAAACAACAACAACAACAGAGCUGUUGGAGCUGCUGAAGAAAGAUGGAAAAAAAAUAAGAUAGUUAUCUGGCAAUUUCAGGUGUUUCUCUUCUCUUUGUCCAAACUCUCCACAAAGCCUGAGGAAUGAAUGGGACUUCCCCUGGAAUUGCAUCUGCCGUGACAUAGUACCUGCUGCACUGGCAGAAUGACUCAGUGGCUGCUCUGAAAAGACCUAGGUGACCGAGAGACAGAAAAAGCAGCAGACUGUUUUGGAGCAAAUAAGAAAAGCAGAAACUGAGAUGCAAAACCAGAACAGAUGCUGGAGGUGUGUGAUAAGAAAGUAAAUGAGCAGCAGGGAGCUGCAGAGCUGAGAAAUAAAAGCAAGACCAUCCCUC